AAAAAAACGAAUGCAUCUUUCUAAAGGAGCGCAAAGACAGUGCAGCUUUAUACCAGCAGAACCUUUUCCUAUCUUUGCCUAAUGAUCUUCCUCUGUCAGCUAAGGAGGACAUCGAAAUCAAGGAAAAGCUCCAUUACAGAGAUAUUCUCUGAGUGAGAGCUUUUCUCUUCUGGAUUGCACCUAACAGUCACUUCUACCCACCUGUGCAAAGCAGAUGAAGAGCUGUGUCUGUGAUUCAGAACCACUCUUCCAGCACCACAGGAUAAAUACCAACAGAGACAAUGCUGAUCUUCGUAACUAACAGCUCUUCAAGCAUGAUAAGCUGUCUGAUGCAAUGAAGUCACACUGUCAUAAAUAGACACUGAGUGCUGAAAUGUGACAGAUCAGGUCAAACAUUUUUAUUCUGUCAGUUUGAAUAAUAUUGCAGGCCCAAAGGCUUCCAACUGGCUGGGUUUUAAUUACCGAGGUAAUUUUCCAUGCAUGUGUCUUUGCAAUGCUGCACUGGAAAUACCACAGCACUGAGCACAGGCUUUUACUGAUUCCAUUUAUGAGAAAAACUUCUGUCUAAUUUAAGAGUGUAGCAGUAUACCAGAAACAUAAGGUGUAAGUUUGAUUUCACACUCACAUCAUGUACUGAAAUCACUGCGUUUUUGGAAUUAGACAAGUUCAGUGGGAUUUGAGGACCUCAUUUGUGGUUGACACUUGAAUGGAACAUAAAAGCAGAGCUAUACUUUGUGUUGAGUUUCCGCUAUAGCAAGCAGGAUUAUGAAAGUUUCCUUACUAUGAGGAUGUGGGAUCGUUAGCGACUGCACUACUGAACUAGGCAUCUCACAUCAGGGAGCGUGAAGGAAGAGUAAUAGGAACACAGCAACCAUGAAAAUAAAAGGGUGAAGUACAUAAGUACACUCCUGAAUCCAAAGCGUGUAGUAUUGUGUGGAUCAUGGCUGGAUGGAUCUUCUAAUGCUCACAAAACACUAGCUUCAAAUGGGUAGGAAAUACUUUUCAGGAGGGUCUUCUUUUCAGAUGAUUAAAAUAUAUUGAUUUGAGUGGUCUUAAUAGCUGCUCAAAACAGUUCAGUUGCUGCAUUAAGUUUAUGUCUCAGUACCUUCACAUGAUGUGAAUAAGACAAAGAAGUACCUGGACACCUGGUAUGAGAUUACCCUAAGAAACACAAGAGUUUAUGGCUUUAUGGCAUUAGUAUUAAAGGAUUCUGACAAGAGGCUGUGGGAGCUGUGACACGAAACUGUGGUUUUAUUGCCUUGGCAAUAAAAAAAGGGGCAAAAAAUAUCAUAUCCCAAGAAGAUCCACAGUGUGGGACAUGAUCCGACUCUGGAAAGAUAAACAUAAAUCAAGCUGGCAAACAGACACACUAGUGGUGAGGGAAUCAUUUGAAUGCCUGGAACAAGGCAUCUCAGUCAAAGCAGGGGAUUUGCUAAUGGUUACAGGAAGACCUUCCGGCUGAAGUUAGAUUCUAAGGACACGCUCAGCAGGGAACUGGCUACGUAACUUGCUGCCUUCCCACCUUGACAGGGUCUUGGCUUCCUUUGUAAGGCAAGUGGUGUAUUCACUGACAGUAUAGAGAAUAAUUUCUCCCCCAGCUGAAAAUAUCGGCUGAAAUCCCUGAGUAGCCCUAUGAACUGUCAGCAGAAAGGCCCCUUCUGACCUGCAGAUCUGCACUUACACUGUAGUAGAUGUCCUGAUGAACCCAGGACCUUUUUUUCCUUUUAUCUGUCUCAUUCUACUGUAUGGAUCUUAGAGCCAUCUAAACUCUGGCUGUUCUUGAAAGUCAUACGCAGGAAUGCUCCUUCAAAAAAGCAAUGCCAUAGUAGCCAGAGAAGGAAUGAAUAUAAUGUAGAAUUAUAUCUGCUUACUCCCCUGGUACAUGUCAUUUUUUAAUAUAUGGUGAGAUUUUCUCCCUGAUUUUUCUGAACUCUUUUGGGUUUGGGUUUUUUUUUGUAAUUGUCUGACAUAUUCUCCUUGCUCCAUUUUUUUUUUCCAUAUAAAUAAACAUUCUAACAGUUAUUUAAAAGAAUAUAGCAAUGCUUUCUAUCUCUUAAGAUUUUUCCUUCUUCCCCAAAAAAGUCUUUGGACUUCAGAGAGUUCUGUUUAAAAGCAAAACUGGAGUUUGUUUCAUUUGUUUUGGUUUUAUACCUUAUACAUCCAAGUGCAAGGUGUAGUACCAUUACGAAGGGUUUCUUUAUACUUUGUAAAGGUUACAAGGAGAAAAUUAUGGAGGGAAGAAAAAACAAAACACAGAACAAAAAAUUGAAGGUGUCUCCAAAUGACAGCCAACUAAUCUUUUCUUUUUGCUUUUGUCAGUAAGAGCACAAAAGAAGAAUUAAAUACCAUUGCCAAUCUGGACCAAACGUUCGAAUACACUCUGAAAAGCCCAGCACAGUUCUUCUAUGGCGCUUUGUCUCUGUAUUUUUGUCAUUUCAGGUAUCUGCAGGCAUCAUAUAAGCCCUAGGACCUCUUAUUUUCUUGCUCCAGUGUUAUUGUAUUCUGUCACCAGUAUUAUUACAAUGAAACUGGCAAUGAGCAGAGACAUAUUUGAUGCUUUAGAAAUAAUGAAAUGUCACUCCCAUUACAGAACAAUGUGGCAUUUAAUGAUUUAAUGGGACUAUGCAAAGUUUAUUUGCAUUAUUAUUCCACUGUAAUGAUUUUUUUUCCUGGCAGUGAAAGCUGCCAAAAAUAUCAUUGAAUGUUAAUUCAGAUGAACUUUAAAGGCAGUCACAUAGGGAGUGACCUGAAAUCAAAGCUCUUCAUCCUAGCCUUCAAAGGAGGCUACCCUGGAGGGUGUCAUUAGAAACUUCCGUUAACCUCGCAGGUUUCAAAUCUGUGAAGACCAAAAAGACCACACACACACAGAGCAAAAGCCAUUUCACUCUCAGAAGAAAAAAUUAGAGUGUCGUAAUUAGCUGGCAGAGGAAGAGAUACCCCUGGAUAUAGAUAUCAUUAACAUGGCUAAUUAAAUAUCAGAAAAUGUUACAUGAAAAUAUUCUUGGAGAAAAUUAAAAAUUCUAUUUCCCAGUGAUGGUAACUUUAGUAAAUUUUACUUUCAGUGUUGGCUCUACUGAGUAUUAGCAAUACUAAGUGUCUCAAUCCUUUAGUUAGUUGAGUGAAGGUUAUCAGAGUGCAUUACCACUGAGCUUUACAGCUGGAAUGGUUUCUCACAUAAGAAACACAAAUAAGCUUAUUCGCAUGUAUAUGAUGAUUCUGCCUGAAAGGAAUAAAUCAGUGACUUUUGAGGUCCCUGUUUUACUUGGCUUUCCAAAUACAUAUACACUGCAGAGAAGGGGUUUAGAUCAGGUCUUUUAAUUAUUGACUCUGCUCUAGAAUUGAAUGAGGCUGUUGCAUUGUUUGGUUGGUUGUUUUUUUUCCUCAGAUACUAGUCUAUUGAAUGAAUAAUGAGGUUUCAAAUGAAAAAAUAAUAACCGUUGACUAAUUUGUGAGAAAGAAUGAUAAAUUUUUUGGAAGUGGAAUUUUUCUCCCCUGUUAUUUUCUAAAUAUUUUGAUAGUUUUGCUAGGUACAGCUAUUUUACAUUUAAACUUAGCUUUUGAAAUUUUAAUCCCCAUGGAGUUAAAGGAAAAAACAAAACCUCUUCCUGAAAGACAGGCAGUUAAGUUUGGGGAUUAUAAGAAGAAGAAAAAUGUGAGAAAAGAGAAGGAGAACGCUUUCUUUUGAAAAGUAUUGUUUUUGUUUGGAAGAGAAUAAACACAGUUUUCCUCUGCCAAUAAUCAACAAAAAAAUAUGCUGCUAUAGUUCUACUCCAAUCCCAUUUGUGAUCUCUUGACUCUGUAACGCCGAUGACGCAAACCAGUAUUUAAAUCAUG